AUUGAACGCUGGCGGCAGGCCUAACACAUGCAAGUCGAACGAGUGGCGGACGGGUGAGUAAUGUCUGGGAAACUGCCUGAUGGAGGGGGAUAACUACUGGAAACGGUAGCUAAUACCGCAUACCAUCCAUUGUGCCCAGAUGUGAUUGGCUAGUUGGUGGGGUAACGGCUCACCAAGGCGACACUCCCUAGCUGGUCUGAGAGGAUGACCGGCAACGCUGGAACUGGGAAACGGUCCAGAGUCCUACGGGAGGAAGCAGGGGGGAAUAUUGCACAAUGGGCGAAAGCCUGAUGCAGCCAUGCCGCGUGUAUGAAGAAGGCCUUCGGGUUGUAAAGUACGUUCAGCGGGGAGGCGUUACCCGCAGAAGAAGCACCGGCUAACUCCGUGCCAGCCGCCGCGGUAAUAC
rnacentral:rRNA from 1 species